AUUGAACGCUAGCGGGAUGCUUUACACAUGCAAGUCGAGCGAGAGGCGGAGGGGUGAGUAAAGUAUGGGGACUGCCCGAUAGAGGGGGGUAACUACUGGGAACGGUAGCUCAUACCGCAUACUAUCGGAUAACCCAUAUGGGAUUAGAUAGUAGGUGAGGUAAUGGCUCACCAAGGCGACGAUCCCUAGCUGGUCUGAGAGGUUGAUCAGCCACACUGGAACUGAGACACGGCCCAGACUCCUACGGAGGCAGCAGUGGGGAAUAUUGCACAAUGGGCGCAAGCCUGAUGCAGCCAUGCCGCGUGUAUGAAGAAGGCCCUAGGGUUGUAAAGUACUUUCAGUCGGGAGGCGUUACCCACAGAAGAAGCACCGGCUAACUCCGUGCCAGCAGCCGCGGUAAUUC
rnacentral:rRNA from 1 species